rnacentral:rRNA from 1 species
AUGACGGUCGUCGAGCUGCUCCGCGACGAUCUCGAGGAGCACGAGAUCGAGGAAGAUGAGCCUAUCCUUGAGGAGGAUAACGACGACGAUGAAGACGAUACCGAGGAUGAGGAUGAAAAAGAUGACGAUGAUGUCGUGGGAGGUGAUGCUGGUGGAAGAUCUAGGCAGAGUAGGAGUGAGAAGAAGAGCAGGAAAGCCAUGGAGAAGCUUGGCAUGAAGGCCAUUACUGGUGUGAGCCGUGUAACUUUCAAGAAGAGCAAGACCGUUAUGUAUGUCCUCUCCAAGCCAGAUGUGUUCAAAAGCUCGCAGUCAGACACCUAUGUCAUGUUCGGGGAGCUCAAGGUCGAGGACCCGAGCACUCAGCUGCCGACACAAGCGGCGGAACAGUUCAAGGCGCCAGGCCCGAGCAGUGUGAUCUCGAAGGACGAGCCAUCCGUGGCAACAGCCCAGGACGAUGAGGAGGUUGACGACACUGACGUUGACCAGAAGGACGUCGAGCUCGUGAUGAUGCAGACCUCGGUGUCGAGAUCCAGGGCUGUGAAGGUGCUCAAGGCUGUGGAUGGCGACAUUGUCAGCGCCAUCAUGGAGUUGACUAACUAG